GGGGAAUAUUGGUCAAUGGACGCAAGUCUGAACCAGCCAUGCCGCGUGCAGGAUGACGGCUCUAUGAGUUGUAAACUGCUUUUGUACGAGGGUAAACCCCGAUACGUGUAUCGGGCUGAAAGUAUCGUACGAAUAAGGAUCGGCUAACUCC
rnacentral:rRNA from 1 species